GAGUUUGAACAUGGCUCAGAACGAACGCUGGCGGCAUGCUUAACACAUGCAAGUUCGAACGGUAACACGAUACAGCCAGCUUUUCACGCUGACCAAAGGCGGACGGGUGAGUAAUGCUUGGGAAUCUGGCUUAUGGAAGGGGAUAACGACAGGAAACUGUCUCUAAUACCCCAUAAAUUCCAGAGACGAAAGUGCGGGACCGCAAUGCCGCAUGCCAUAUGAUGAGCCCAACUGGGAUUAGGUAGUUGGUGGGGUAAUGGCCUACCAAGCCCACAAUCUCUAUCUGGUCUGAGAGGAUGACCACCCACACCGGGACUGAGACACAGCCCGGACUCCUACAGGAGGCACCACUGGGGAAUAUUGCGCAAUGGGGGCAACCCUGACACACCCAUGCCCCGUGAAUGAAAAAAGCCUUCUGGUUGUAAAGUUCUUUCUGUGACUAGGAAAGCCUGAUGUUUAAUAAGCAUCACAAUUGACGUUAAUCACAUAAGAACCACCGGCUAACUCCGUGCCAACAGCCCCAGUAAUACCGAGGGUGCGAGCGUUAAUCGAAAUAACUGGGCGUAAAUGGCACGCACGCUGCUAUUUAAGUGAUGUGUGAAAUCCCCGGGCUUAACCUGGGAAUUGCAUUUCACACUGGGUAGCUAGAGUACUUUAGGGAGGGGUAGAAUUCCACGUGUAGCGGUGAAAUGCGUAGAGAUGUGGAGGAAUACCGAAGGCGAAGGCAGCCCCUUGGGAAUGUACUGACGCUCAUGUGCGAAAGCGUGGGGAGCAAACAGGAUUAGAUACCUUGGUAGUCCACGCUGUAAACGCUGUCGAUUUGGGGAUUGGGCCUUGAGCUUGGUGCCCGAAGCUAACGUGAUAAAUCGACCGCCUGGGGAGUACGGCCGCAAGGUUAAAACUCAAAUGAAUUGACGGGGGCCCGCACAAGCGGUGGAGCAUGUGGUUUAAUUCGAUGCAACGCGAAGAACCUUACCUACUCUUGACAUCCAUGGAAUCUCGUAGAGAUAUGAGAGUGCCUUCGGGAACCAUGAGACAGGUGCUGCAUGGCUGUCGUCAGCUCGUGUUGUGAAAUGUUGGGUUAAGUCCCGCAACGAGCGCAACCUUUAUCCUUUGUUGCCAGCGAUUCGGUCGGGAACUCAAAGGAGACUGCCGGUGAUAAACCGGAGGAAGGGGGGGAGGAGGUCAAGUCAUCAUGGCCCUUACGAGUAGGGCUACACACGUGUUACAAUGGCGUAUACAGAGGGCGAGGAAGCCGCGAGGUGGAGUGAAUCUCACAAAGUACGUUUAAGUCCGGAUUGGAGUCUGCAACUGGACUCCAGGAAGUGGGAAUGGUUAGUAAUCGCGGAAUCAGAAUGUCGCGGUGAAUACGUCCCCGGGCCUUGUACACACCGCCCGUCA
rnacentral:rRNA from 1 species